rnacentral:lncRNA from 1 species
UUAUCAAGUAUUUCCAGUUAUACACAACCAAAUCCAGAAAACUUAGUUCUACUUAGUUAUACUAGUAUUACCUAGUUAUACCAAUACUAAAAACCCAAAAAAUUCCCUUGUCCGCCGGAAUAUGCUCUUUCACUCGAACGUCCUCCUCCGCUGCAACUCUAGUAUCCGCCGGAACUUGCUCUUUCGCCGGACCUCCCUCUUUCACCGGAACUUCUUCGUCCUCCGGUACAACCUCUUUCUUUUUCUUUCUUCUUUUUUCUACUAUUUGUUGAUUAUUAUACCACACUCUCAACAUCGAUGAGAACAACGAAUACCCAAUUCAAAACUCUUGAGCAUUUUAAGAAUUUUUCUCUUCGAUUACUACCUCAGCGAACACUUAGAGAGAAAAGAAGAGAAGAAGAUGAUGAGCAAUUCAUCGUUUAGGUUAGAGUUUUUUUUUUUUUUUUUUUUUUUAAUGAGUUUGUGGGUAGGAUCCAUUUAGUGUUGGAUGGGUGGAUAAAAUCAAGGUUUGUAGUGUAAUAUAAGAAAUUUUGUUUGGACAUAGAAGUAAUUUAAGCAAUUUUUGAUUUUAAAAAAAACAAAAACAAAAUAAAGAAUAGAAGGGGAGAAUGGAGAUUCCUUCCUCCCAAAAAAGGAUACAGGAGACGAAAACUCUAUCCUUUCCCACGCCGCCGUUCAACUCUCUUCUCUACGCACAUACUCUUUAGUCUCUUCUCCACUAACGAUUGAAACCACUCGAUUUCUCAGAAACUCACCAAACGAUUUCGCCGCACAUUGCUUCACCGGCGUAGCUAUCCUUCUGUUCACCGGCGGAGCUAGCCUUCUGAAAAUCAAGAAAAAUAUGGAGGAUCCGACUUAUCAACACAUAGACCCUCGUUCCAAAUCCAGGUAAUAUAAUUUAAUUAGUUAUUACUUGUGUGGACUGAUGACACUACAAGAAAACACUCGUUUUGAGAGAGAAAAUUUCCUAGCUAGUCCCUCGCAAUACGCUUUUUGCUAGGAAAUUACGACAAACAGCGUUCUCUCGCAAUUGGCAAAUUCCUCGCAAACAUUGGGACGUUUCACACACCUCGCAAAUUUCGUAGCACUUUGCGAGGAUAUAGUUGGUAGCAAACACCUUGCAACUUCAAUUCUUUCAAAU